rfam:Brachypodium distachyon strain Bd21 chromosome 2, whole genome shotgun sequence.
ACCGUACUUCCUCCAUCCAACAAAAGAUGUCUUAACUUUGACUAAAUUUGAAUGCAUCUAUACACUAAGUCAUGUCUAGAUACAUCUAAAUUUUCACAAACUUGAGACAUCUUUUUUUGAACGGAGGGAGUAUGUU